rnacentral:rRNA from 1 species
CACGUAGGGUGCGAGCGUUGUCCGGAAUUACUGGGCGUAAAGGGCUCGUAGGCGGCCAACUAAGUCAUACGUGAAAUCCCUCGGCUUAACCGGGGAACUGCGUCUGAUACUGGCAGGCUAGAGUGCGGUAGAGGAUGGCGGAAUUCCCGGUGUAGCAGUGAAGUGCGUAGAGAUCGGGAGGAACAUCUGUGGCGAAGGCGGCCAUCUGGACCAGCACUGACACUGAGGCACGAAAGCGUGGGGAGCAAACAGGA